rnacentral:rRNA from 1 species
UACAGAGGUCUCAAGCGUUGUUCGGAUUCAUUGGGCGUAAAGGGUGUGUAGGUGGCGCGCUAAGUCGGGUGUGAAAUUUCGGAGCUUAACUGCGAAACUGCAUUCGAUACUGGCGUGCUUGAGGACUGGAGAGGAGACUGGAAUUCAUGGUGUAGCAGUGAAAUGUGUAGAGAUCAUGAGGAAGACCAGUGGCGAAGGCGGGUCUCUGGACAGUUCCUGACACUGAGACACGAAGGCCAGGGGAGCAAACGGG